rnacentral:misc_RNA from 1 species
GAUGAAGAACGUAGCGAAAUGCGAUACGUAAUGUGAAUUGCAGAAUUCAGUGAAUCAUCGAAUCUUUGAACGCAUAUUGCGCUCUCUGGUAUUCCGGAGAGCAUGCUUGUUUGAGUAUCAGUAAACACCUCAACUCCCUUUUCUUUUUCGAAAUUGGAGCUGGACUUGAGUGAUCCCAACGCUUUCUUCCAAGAAAGUGGCGGGUUGCUUGAAAUGCAGGUGCAGCUGAACUUUUCUCUGAGCUAUAAGCAUAUCUAUUUAGUCUGCCUAAAAAACAGAUUAUUACCUUUGCUGCAGCUAACAUAAAGGAGACUAGUUCUUGUGCUGACUGAUGCAGGAUUCACAGAGACAGCUUCGGCUGACUUUGUAAACUCGAUCUCAAAUCAAGUAAGACUACCCGCUGAACUUAAGCAUAUCAAUAAGCGGAGGA